GUGUCGACAAUGAUGGCUCUACAAUCCAAACACGUGUCGACAAUGAUGGCGGAACAGACCAUAGUACAGCAGGCCCUACAAUAAUGGAGGAUGAACAGAAAGAAAAUGACAUAGAAUGCGGAUCGAAUAUGAUAUUGGACUUUUUCAAUGAAUGUUCAAGUGCAACAAGUGUGGGAAUGAACAUCAUGGUAUUUGGACUUUGCUUACUCGGAGCACUUUAUAUCACAGCUUGAUGGAUCAAGUGUUAAUCAGAAGUCAUUUUAAAAUUUAAAUUGUUGUCUGGGUUUUUUUAAUAACUUCACGGAUCAGGG